rnacentral:rRNA from 1 species
UACGUAGGGCGCAAGCGUUAUCCGGAAUUAUUGGGCGUAAAGAGCUCGUAGGCGGUUUGUCGCGUCUGCCGUGAAAGUCCGGGGCUCAACUCCGGAUCUGCGGUGGGUACGGGCAGACUAGAGUGAUGUAGGGGAGACUGGAAUUCCUGGUGUAGCGGUGAAAUGCGCAGAUAUCAGGAGGAACACCGAUGGCGAAGGCAGGUCUCUGGGCAUUAACUGACGCUGAGGAGCGAAAGCUAGGGUAGCAAACCGG